CCUACGGGAGGCAGCAGUGGGGAAUAUUGGACAAUGGGCGAAAGCCUGAUCCAGCCAUGCCGCGUGUGUGAAGAAGGUCUUCGGAUUGUAAAGCACUUUAAGUUGGGAGGAAGGGUUGUAGAUUAAUACUCUGCAAUUUUGACGUUACCGACAGAAUAAGCACCGGCUAACUCUGUGCCAGCAGCCGCGGUAAUACAGAGGGUGCAAGCGUUAAUCGGAAUUACUGGGCGUAAAGCGCGCGUAGGUGGUUUGUUAAGUUGGAUGUGAAAUCCCCGGGCUCAACCUGGGAACUGCAUUCAAAACUGACUGACUAGAGUAUGGUAGAGGGUGGUGGAAUUUCCUGUGUAGCGGUGAAAUGCGUAGAUAUAGGAAGGAACACCAGUGGCGAAGGCGACCACCUGGACUGAUACUGACACUGAGGUGCGAAAGCGUGGGGAGCAAACAGGAUUAGAUACCCUAGUAGUCC
rnacentral:rRNA from 1 species